GAUGAACGCUGGCGGCGUGCCUAAUACAUGCAAGUCGAGCGAAUGGAUUAAGAGCUUGCUCUUAUGAAGUUAGCGGCGGACGGGUGAGUAACACGUGGGUAACCUGCCCAUAAGACUGGGAUAACUCCGGGAAACCGGGGCUAAUACCGGAUAACAUUUUGAACCGCAUGGUUCGAAAUUGAAAGGCGGCUUCGGCUGUCACCUAUGGAUGGACCCGCGUCGCAUUAGCUAGUUGGUGAGGUAACGGCUCACCAAGGCAACGAUGCGUAGCCGACCUGGGAGGGUGAUCGGCCACACUGGGACUGAGACACGUGCCAGACUCCUGCGGGAGGAAGCAGUAGGGAAUCUUCCGCAAUGGACGAAAGUCUGACGGAGCAACGCCGCGUGAGUGAUGAAGGCUUUCGGGUCGUAAAACUCUGUUGUUAGGGAAGAACAAGUGCUAGUUGAAUAAGCUGGCACCUUGACGGUACCUAACCAGAAAGCCACGGCUAACUACGUGCCAGCAGCCGCGGUAA
rnacentral:rRNA from 1 species